UCCCAACACUCCAAUGUUAAUUAAAAUAUUCUGGCUAGUGGAAAUUACUCAACCUGUGCGAUUCGCCUAAUACCAUCCACUCUCCAAGAGGGCUCCAAGCAGUCAAAAUGCGACAACUUAUUGCAUCUUAUGACUCAAUUACUUGAUAUAAUGAAAUAUAUACUAUGUGUAUAUAGUGAGAUAUGUAUAGAAUACAUUCAAAUUUAUAAAUAUAUCAUAUAUAAGUGAUCUACGUACUUCAAGA
rnacentral:lncRNA from 1 species